rnacentral:rRNA from 1 species
AGAGAGAGACAUGCGCGCAUAUCAAUAAGCGGAGGAAAAGAAACUAACAAGGAUUCCCUUAGUAACGGCGAGUGAAGCGGGAAGAGCUCAAAUUUGAAAUCUUCAAGGUUCUACCUUGACGAAUUGUAGUUUAUAGAAGUGUUUUUCUGUUAGUGGAGUGGCAAAAGUUCUUUGGAAUAGGACAUCAUAGAGGGUGAGAAUCCCGUAUUUGGUCAUUCCUCCCUAGCGUUGUGAUACACUUUCAACGAGUCGGAUUGUUUGGGAAUGCAGUCCAAAAUGGGUGGUAAAUUUCAUCUAAAGCUAAAUAUUGGCGAGAGACCGAUAGCGAGCAAGUACCGUGAGGGAAAGAUGAAAAGAACUUUGAAAAGAGAGUUAAACAGUACGUGAAAUUGUCAAAAGGGAAGCGUUUGACACCAGUGUUGUUUUUUCCGAAAAUCAAUUACGAAUGUUUUAUUUUUGAGGAGUUAUGACUUCAUCGGCUUGCUCCUUUCUUUAUGAAAACUUUCUUAAUGCACUUUUCGGUUAACAAGUCAACAUCAAUUUCUUUUGUUGUAAAAGGGUAUGAGGAAGGUGGCUUUCUUUUCGGAGAAAGUGUUUAUAGCCUUGUGCCUCUGCAAUCGGAGAGAUUGAGGUCUGCAGCGUAGAUCCUUCGGGGUUAGAUACAGUUUGUGCUAAGUUAUAGCUUUUCAUAGACAACUUGUUGACUAUGUUUAGUCUUGUAGCUUACUCGCUGACGCUAUUUUACCUACGCUUAGGAUGUUGAUAGUCACAGCGUGUAC